rnacentral:tRNA from 1 species
GGGCCCAUAGCUCAGCGGUGAGAGCAGCUGGCUCAUAACCGGUUGGUCGCUGGUUCAAAUCCAGCUGGGCCCA